rnacentral:rRNA from 1 species
GGUAGCACAGAGAGCUUGCUCUCGGGUGACGAGCGGCGGACGGGUGAGUAAUGUCUGGGAAACUGCCUGAUGGAGGGGGAUAACUACUGGAAACGGUAGCUAAUACCGCAUAACGUCGCAAGACCAAAGUGGGGGACCUUCGGGCCUCAUGCCAUCAGAUGUGCCCAGAUGGGAUUAGCURGUAGGUGGGGUAACGGCUCACCUAGGCGACGAUCCCUAGCUGGUCUGAGAGGAUGACCAGCCACACUGGAACUGAGACACGGUCCAGACUCCUACGGGAGGCAGCAGUGGGGAAUAUUGCACAAUGGGCGCAAGCCUGAUGCAGCCAUGCCGCGUGUGUGAAGAAGGCCUUCGGGUUGUAAAGCACUUUCAGCGGGGAGGAAGGCGGUGAGGUUAAUAACCUCAUCGAUUGACGUUACCCGCAGAAGAAGCACCGGCUAACUCCGUGCCAGCAGCCGCGGUAAUACGGAGGGUGCAAGCGUUAAUCGGAAUUACUGGGCGUAAAGCGCACGCAGGCGGUCUGUCAAGUCGGAUGUGAAAUCCCCGGGCUCAACCUGGGAACUGCAUUCGAAACUGGCAGGCUAGAGUCUUGUAGAGGGGGGUAGAAUUCCAGGUGUAGCGGUGAAAUGCGUAGAGAUCUGGAGGAAUACCGGUGGCGAAGGCGGCCCCCUGGACAAAGACUGACGCUCAGGUGCGAAAGCGUGGGGAGCAAACAGGAUUAGAUACCCUGGUAGUCCACGCUGUAAACGAUGUCGAUUUGGAGGUUGUGCCCUUGAGGCGUGGCUUCCGGAGCUAACGCGUUAAUCGACCGCCUGGGGAGUACGGCCGCAAGGUUAAAACUCAAUGAAUUGACGGGGGCCCGCACAAGCGGUGGAGCAUGUGGUUUAAUUCGAUGCACGCGAAGAACCUUACCUGGGUCUUGACAUCCACAGAACUUUCCAGAGAUGGAUUGGUGCCUUCGGGAACUGUGAGACAGUGCUGCAUGGCUGUCGUCAGCUC